rnacentral:lncRNA from 1 species
GUGGAAUCUCCAUGACAAAGCCCCAUGAGCCUCUUCAUACCCGUUCAGUCUGAGCAGUGUCACAAGUGAAGGGACUGAAGUAUUCUGACAAACUCAGGCCAAGCUGAAUGUUGCUCAUUUUUUGUCCAGUUUGGGUCGUGGACACUUGAUUGUUCCACCUUGUUGGGGGUAUCACAUGGAACCAGGAAAUUUUCAAGUGGCUUAAGGAUCUCUGAAAUGCCAGUAACUCAGAUCUUGUGGUAUUUGACAUGUUAAACUUGGAAUCUGA